UGAUAUAAAUAGAAUAUAGUCACCACAUGAAAAACCAUGUAUGUGAGGCAUGAAUGGAAUCAAACCUGGAUCCUCGGAUGAAUAGACCAACUUUAAAACAGGUCAUACGAUCAAAAUUGACGAAUAUCAAGCUGACCUGUUCUGACCUGAAAAUGAGUGUCGAAAAGUCAGAAAUGCCGCCUACUAAGAAGGGAGACUUGGAUAAGUUAGCAUGGGCAUGGAUAGAAUCCAUCAGUCCAGACGAGAUUGAGAAAACACAUUUAGAAACUGCAUAUAGAAUUGGAUUAAAGAGUUGUAAAAAUUGCAAACGUAAUUGCACCUAUAACCCCCAAUGUCUGACAGGUUUAGGAGAAGACAAAUAUAUGAAGUCUCAGCCAGCCGAGGUAGUGUCUUUAGAAAGUUCCUUAUCAGAGUUACGCGACCCGACCCAAUAUGUUGGCUUAAAGAAUCUAGGUGCUACUUGCUACGUCAAUAGCUUAAUUCAAAUGUGGUUUCACAAUGAAGACAUGAGGAGAAUAAUAUACAAAUGGGAUAUUACGGAAGAUCCAGAGGAGAAGGAGGCAUUGUGUCAGUUAAAGAAAGCAGGAGUACCCUAUCAUCCAGUAACUGCGGUUGGCCAAUUGCAGUAUCUUUUUGCAAUGAUGCAAUUCGGCAAUAGGAGCCUUCUUGAUCCAGUCAAUCUCGCUAUUGCGUUAUCCUUGGAUACCAGAACGCAACAAGAUGCUCAAGAGUUCUCCAAAUUGCUAUUGUGCCAUAUCGAAGGAAAGCUACAGCAAAACUCAGAACUGGAGCAGAUGCUGCAGAGGCUGACUCAGGGAAAAUACAGCUAUAUCAAUAGUUGUUCCACAUGCAGCACUGAGUACCCAACGUCCACCACAUUCUAUGAGUUGGACCUACAACUGGCAGCAACUUUAAAAGGGGCGAUCGACAAUUAUUUGUCAGAAGAACAGUUGACGGGAGCGGAUCAAUAUCAUUGUGUUACUUGCAAUGAUAAAAAGGACGCCAGGCGAUUCAUACGACUGGAGUCUCUUCCAGAGACUUUAAAUAUUCAACUAAUGCGCUUUGUAUUCCAUAGAGAUUCCGGACAGAAGAAGAAAUUGAAUUCAUAUAUUCAGUUUCCCGAAGAGCUUGAUAUGUCGGAAUAUAUUAGGUGUCAGCCUCAAACUCAUCUGUACAGUCUCGUUGCUGUAUUGAGCCACAAAGGUCCAUCUGCAUAUUCGGGGCAUUAUAUCGCGAAUAUAUGUAAUUCAAGCGGGGAGUGGUAUCAAUUUAGUGACGAUAAAGUUGAAAAAAUGCAAAAUAAACGAAUCGAGGAUAGCGUAAAUGAUAAAUCAAUGAAACGUGGGCGUGUUCCAAAAGGAUUUCUGUCAUCCAACACAGCUUAUAUGCUGGUUUAUAAAAAGUUAACUUCGGAUGCGCGAAUAAAUGCUGUGAAGAAAGUAAAAUUGAAAAAACUUGAUGUGGAAAUAAAUGCCUCCAAUGAUGCUGUUUACUGUGAGAAACUUGCAGUUACAGAAAAAUCGGAUACCGGGGACGAAAUGAAACAGAAAGCUGAUAUUGAAGACGCACCAUUAAUUCAAGAAGAAAACUCUGAAAAAAUAUUGAAAUUAGAUUUAGAGAAUGCAAUAGAAGUAGAUGAAUCUGCAAUAUCUGAAAAGACUGAUAUACCUACCAUGGAUGAAAAUAAUACAGAAAUUGUCGCUAGCACAAAUGGAUGUAAAGAUACACAUGAAUCUACUUUAGAACAAUUACAAAAGGUUCACCAUCUAAAAGAGUCAACAGUGAAAGUUGUUAAGCUAGAUUAUAAACGAUUGAAUGGUGACGCACACAGAGCUAUGAGUUGCGGUGAACGUGAUUUUUAUGAAGAGAUGGAAUUUGAGAAUUGGCAAGUAAGCAGUACGAUGCGUGAACUUGUUAGACAAGAGAAUGUUAAACACGAAUUGAGUUUGUUAGCCGCACAGCAAGAAAAACAAAAAGAAAUUGAAGAUCAGAAUUCCAAACGACAACUCGUAAUAGAUGUAUAUAAUAUAAUCCAUUCAACAGUAUCUUGGAGUAAUUAUUAUUGGAUACCAACUGACUGGCUAUCGAAAUGGUUGAUCGGACAUUCCUCUGCAGUCGAUAUCCGUCCGAUCGAUAAUUCUAAUUCAAUGUGCUCGCACUAUCGACUUGAUCCAUUGAAAGUUAGUCGUAUGAAAUGCGUGCCGGAAUUAGCAGCUCAAAUGCUUUACGAUAAAUAUCUAGGAGGUCCGCGGUUAGACCAGACGUUUUUGUGCGAAAUUUGUGUAAAACGACGUUGCAAAUUAUUACGUUUCAAGAUAACACUUGAACGAGAUCACAAAGAAGUUGGAGAAUUAAUUCGCACAUUUAAAGAACCUGUCGAAACAAGCUAUAUAAUUGGUACUGAUUCAUUACGAUCAUGGCGAAGGUUAGCUAUGGAAACGUUUCAAGAGGAUAUAGAACAAAAGGAAGAUGAUUGCCAGGAUACUCUACAAGAGGAGAGUAAGAAUACGGAUAAAGACGGUAAUGAUUGUCCGAAGGAAGUCGAGGAGAACAAGGAAAAUGAGGUUAUUAUAAACUUCAAUGAAGACUUACUCUGCGAGCACAAAUCUCUUAAAACGGCAGAUUCCAGUAGAAAAGUGAUACCUCAAGAGGCAUGGGUGAUUCUUAAAAAAUAUUUUCCGGAUUCGAAAGAAUAUCCCGUUGGAUCGCCAUCCUGUUCAAUCUGCGAGGAAAAGAUGAAAAGUGCGCAAAGAGCGAAGAAAGAUGACAAAAUAAAAGCGAAGCAACAGAAAGACGAGCUUACCGACUUGUAUUAUGGAAAGAAUAGGAAUGAAAUUUCCACGUGCAUUGAUCCUCUGAAAUCUUUCUACAUUGUGGAGAAGGGCUUCCUGGACAGUUGGCGUUCCUUCGUUCGAUGGCGCUAGUUGUCCUGAAAAUUGCGCGCCACAGUUUUUCAACCACCCGCCAUUACGGGGCGAGACGCAGUCGGUGAUGAGCAACGUUUUUUUGACAUCUAAUAUCGAUGAAUAAUACACGGAAAGAUACGCAGAGGUUUACUCGAGAACACCACCGACAGGUAUCCAGAACGCGUCGCUCCUUUGCGAGGAGCAUAAAGG
rnacentral:misc_RNA from 1 species